UGAUGCUAGGCAUCCAGGAUCUACUCAUGAUGCUUUUAUUUGGAACAAUAGUGAUUUAAAACAAAUGGUUGCUGAUGAUUUUGGUCCGAACACCUGGCUUCUAGGUGAUUCUGGAUUUCCAUUAGAACCACAUCUUUUGACCCCUUUUCGUUCAGCGGAACCUCAAUCACCUGAAGC